GCGAGGGACGAGAAGCUUGCUUCUCUGAUGGUAGCGGCGGAGGGUGAGUAACACGGGGAUAACCUACCUAUAACACUGGGAGAACUUCGGGAAACCGGAGCUAACACCGGAUAAUAUUUUGAACCGCAUGGUUCAAAAGUGAGAGACGGUCUAGCUGUCAGUUAUAGAUGGAUCCGCGCUGCAUUAUCUAGUUGGUAAGGUAACGGCUUACCAAGGCAACGAUGCAUAGCCGACCUGAGAGGGUGAUCGGCCACACUGGAACUGAGACACGGUCCAGAUUCCUACGGGAGGCAGCAGUAGGGAAUCUUCCGCAAUGGGCGAAAGCCUGACGGAGCAACGCCGCGUGAGUGAUGAAGGUCUUCGGAUCGUAAAACUCUGUUAUUAGGGAAGAACAUAUGUGUAAGUAACUGUGCACAUCUUGACGGUACCUAAUCAGAAAGCCACGGCUAACUACGUGCCAGCAGCCGCGGUAAUACGUAGGUGGCAAGCGUUAUCCGGAAUUAUU
rnacentral:rRNA from 1 species